UGCCAUUAAUGGUCAACUUAUAUUUCGAUGACUCUCACCCAAAUGUUCAAUUUUAAAGCCCCACGUCUUCCUUCUCCUCUUCUGCCAGUCCUGAACCAUUGAUCAGCGCACUCUUUUCUUCAGCUGUUCAUCAUUCUUUCUCAGUAGUCUCCCAAUUUUUAUUUUAUUUUUAUCGAAAUUGCUUAAUCUCCAAGUGGGUUUGUCUUGAAAAGCUCGGAGCCAGUUCCUUUAGCUGCUUUUCCCUUUGAAAAUUUUUCAUUCGAUUGGUUUUGAGCCGGGAAAAUCAAGAAUAUUUAUAGAUCGAAGAAAGUAGAGAAUGAAAAUGGCGCUGCAGUGGAACGCGACCAUUUGGAUGGGCAGUAUGGUGUGGAUGGCCCUGAGUAGGUGGCUCUCCGUAUGCUUUCUCGUCGCCGAUGAGAUUUCCAGAUCUCUUCAGAACGAGGAGCUCAACGUUGAUUGACUGAUCUUUGCAUCGAUCCAUGCUCAGAGUGUGUGCUGAGGAUGGUGGGAAAUGACUCCUUUGAGUAGCCCACACACCCAACAGCUCUUUGGAAUAGAAGCUGUUUGGAUAAAGUGACAUUCCAUCAGUUCUCAAAGUCCAUCUUCAUGAACAGUGGUCGUGGCAGUUUUAAGAAAACCCGCGCUGUGGAAGGGAAAAUUUGGGAGCCUGCAUCCAGUUUCUUCAAUCCCAUCUCUAGUCAAGUUAGUAGUGCUUAGAUUUGGCCCAACAUUUUUUUUCGAUGGACCAAUGGUUGUUGUAAAUGAAAUAAAUUGAUGUUUAUGAAGUGUUUUGUUAAGUGUGUUGAUUGCUGUUCUGCAACAAAACAGUGCAUCGCUGCUGCUUGUGCAAGGCUUAUGUAUAUGACUCAUACUGUCAUACAUAUUAUCCAUUUUUUGAAGGCCCA